GAUGAACGCUGGCGGCGUGCCUAAUACAUGCAAGUCGAGCGAACAGACGAGGAGCUUGCUCCUCUGACGUUAGCGGCGGACGGGUGAGUAACACGUGGAUAACCUACCUAUAAGACUGGGAUAACUUCGGGAAACCGGAGCUAAUACCGGAUAAUAUAUUGAACCGCAUGGUUCAAUAGUGAAAGACGGUUUUGCUGUCACUUAUAGAUGGAUCCGCGCCGCAUUAGCUAGUUGGUAAGGUAACGGCUUACCAAGGCAACGAUGCGUAGCCGACCUGAGAGGGUGAUCGGCCAAGCUAGAACUGAGACACGGUCCAGACUCCUACGGGAGGCAGCAGUAGGGAAUCUUCCGCAAUGGGCGAAAGCCUGACGUAGCAACGCCGCGUGAGUGAUGAAGGUCUUCGGAUCGUAAAACUCUGUUAUUAGGGAAGAACAAAUGUGUAAGUAACUAUGCACGUCUUGACGGUACCUAAUCAGAAAGCCACGGCUAACUACGUG
rnacentral:rRNA from 1 species